UACGUAGGGGGCGAGCGUUGUCCGGAAUUAUUGGGCGUAAAGAGCGUGUAGGCGGUUCGGUAAGUCUGCCGUGAAAACCUGGGGCUCAACCCCGGGCGUGCGGUGGAUACUGCCGGGCUAGAGGGUGGUAGAGGCGAGUGGAAUUCCCGGUGUAGCGGUGGAAUGCGUAGAGAUCCGGAAGAACACCGAUGGCGAAGACGGCCUGCUGGGCAGUAGCUGACGCUGAUGCGCGACAGCGUGGGAGCAAACAG
rnacentral:rRNA from 1 species